UACGUAGGGGGCGAGCGUUGUCCGAAGUUACUGGGCGUAAAGCGCACGUAGGCGGUUAUCUAAGUCUGGGGUGAAAGGUUCAGUGCUUAACGCGAACAGUGCCUUGGAGACUGGAUGACUUGAGUUUGGGAGAGGGUAGUGGAAUGGCUGGUGUAGCGGUGAAAUGCGUAGAUAUCAGGAAGAACACCCGUGGCGAAGGCGGUUCUCUGGGACGGUACUGACGCUGAGACGCGAAAGCGUGGGGAGCGAACAGG
rnacentral:rRNA from 1 species